UUGUUUUUAAAGCUGGCUAAGUAAGUGCUACUGCUAAAACAUCUUUAUAUCAUACCAGACAGAUAAGGGCCUCUCUUUUUUAAAUAAUAUCUUUAAAUAGAAUUAUCAUAAUUCAAUAACAUCAAGUGAAAUAGUUUAAUAUUCUACUAACUAAUCAUGCAAAGGCUUCUCUUUUCUUAAACAAUUUAUCCCUCUAGCUAAACGAUUGAUCUCUAGGAAAGUCAAACAAAUCAAGUGAGAAAUGUAAAAUAUGACAUUUUUGUUAUUUUAUUUUUUAUAUUGGCGGUGAAGAAAUGGUACUUUAGUCUUAUUUGUUUGUUACUUCUUUAAAACAUCAACUCUCUAAGUUUUAUAUCAAAAGAUGUUCUCUGCGUUUCUUAGUACCUGCUGUAGUCUUUAAACUGAAUGUUUAGUAUGCUCUGUUACUGAUUUCUACCAUGCGUGUAUAGAUGUCCCUAUCUAUUUGACUCUUUAUGAAUGAUGCUUUAUAAUAGUUUGGUAUGUAAGAUGAUGAUGGUCUUUUUGUCAAAAUUGUCUUCGAACAUAAUAAUAUCCAGCAUCCAGUUCGGCUCUGCCUCUGCAGUCUAUUGUAGUGGAUUCAUGCCUCCCAGUCAACCCUGCAUGUCACUGAAUACCAGUCCUGCAAAAGAGGAGUUUUUACAAGUUACUGGCAUAGGUUAUUGUCAUCGGCCUGAUGUUUGAUAAAGCUGAAAAGGUUUCUGAUGUUGGUCUCACUGUAGAUGAUCGAAAAGGCCGAUCUACAGAAUAAGACAGUUCUGCAUAUUGAUAGUAAAACAAGUAUAAGUUGUUUCAUUUUGAUCUAUGGACAAUAUCAAGGAAUCAAUUAGAUCACUUGAUGACGACUGUCUGAUAUACAUUGCAAGAGAUGAUUUUCACUAUAAAGCCACCUGGUGAAGUUCAAAUCUGCAGGAAUGUUCCUAGGCUCUGAUUUGGUUCCAUGACGAAUGCAGUUAGUUUCGACUAUUUUUCUUCUUAUACAAAUCUUAACAAACAAUCUGUGAAACAGUUGUGUUUGCAGAAUCCCCAUUUCUAGAUCUUAAAAAAUGUUUGCCAGCAGCUACUUCGCUUGAUGGAGGCAAGUCUAUGGAAAUGAUGGAAAAUCAAUGUGUUAUUAGUGAUGUUUCUCCGUUUCGUUCCCAUUUAGCCUUGAUCCUUGAUAUCCAGGCUCUUAUUCGAUCCUAGAGAUUCCACAUGCCCUCCACCGUGAAACCAAUACUCGUCCUGUCUGAUGACGGAUCUGGUGUUUCUCAACUUGGAUCUUUUGGAAAGGAAUACCUGGCCAAAUAUAUUUCUGACAAUUCUUUUGGUUUCUUUGCAUGUGAAUAUCUUUCAGUAUACUAUAUAUGUCAACAUCCUGACCCACGGGAUCUGCAUUAUUUUUA